CUUUCCUGCCUGUGUGCAUCUUCGCAGUUGUGAUAAAAAGCCCAUUGUCUCUGUUUUGACUUUCUUCUUCCAAGCAAGGCAGAAGUCUUGUUUUUCCUAAUACUCUUCAGAAGUACUUCUCAACGCUUGUAAAGGCAGACUGGAUAUCAUUUCUUGAAACAACAUUGCUUUCUGUGAGUACAUGUAAAUCAUUUCACAUUCUUUUGUUAAACUUCUCGAAUCUUCAAGUUUUGUUCCAUACUCAGCCCACCUCUCUCCACCUCAGCAAACAUGGUAACGACACUCUGGUAACAUUGUAGGAUGAAAAACUUGAGGAUGAAGAACUAGAGCCACAGGGAUAAGAAAUAUGAACAGAUGCAUUUUGUUUUCAUUUGCCAGCGUUGAUAUGAAUGCCUGCAAAGAAAACGUGAAAUGUCUAUGAUGAUGCUCUUCUGCAAAAAAAAAAAAAGGGGAUCGAAACAAAUACGUACUGGGGUAAGAGCCUUUAAAGCAUAUAUAUUUUUAAAAAGUAUACCACUCUAACAAACAAAAAUGCAAAUGCAGAAAUUAAAGAUUCUUAUGCUAAAGCUAGUUUUUCCUGUGCUGUUAGCCUGCUUAAUAAAAGAAGUUCCACGUAGUAUAGCA
rnacentral:lncRNA from 1 species